GGGUUGUGAGGUUAAGCGACUAAGCGUACACGGUGGAUGCCUAGGCAGUCAGAGGCGAUGAAGGGCGUGCUAAUCUGCGAUAAGCGUCGGUAAGCUGAUAUGAAGCGUUAUACCCGACGAUACCCGAAUGGGGAAACCCAGUGUGUUUCGACACACUAUCAUGAUGUGAAUACAUAGCAUCAUGAGGCGAACCGGGGGAACUGAAACAUCUCAGUACCCCGAGGAAAAGAAAUCAACCGAGAUUCCCCUAGUAGCGGCGAGCGAACGGGGAGGAGCCCAGAACCUGAAUCAGUUUGUGUGUUAGUGGAAGCGUCUGGAAAGUCGCACAGUAAAGGGUGAUAGUCCCGUACACAAAAAUGCACAGGCUGUGAGUUCGAUGAGUAGGGCGGGACACGUGACAUCCUGUCUGAAUAUGGGGGGACCAUCCUCCAAGGCUAAAUACUCCUGACUGACCGAUAGUGAACCAGUACCGUGAGGGAAAGGCGAAAAGAACCCCGGCGAGGGGAGUGAAAUAGAACCUGAAACCGUGUACGUACAAGCAGUGGGAGCCUUGAUUAAUCAGGGUGACUGCGUACCUUUUGUAUAAUGGGUCAGCGACUUAUAUUCUGUAGCAAGGUUAACCGAAUAGGGGAGCCGCAGGGAAACCGAGUCUUAACUGGGCGUUAAGUUGCAGGGUAUAGACCCGAAACCCGGUGAUCUAGCCAUGGGCAGGUUGAAGGUUGGGUAACACUAACUGGAGGACCGAACCGACUAAUGUUGAAAAAUUAGCGGAUGACUUGUGGCUGGGGGUGAAAGGCCAAUCAAACCGGGAGAUAGCUGGUUCUCCCCGAAAGCUAUUUAGGUAGCGCCUCGUGAACUCAUCUUCGGGGGUAGAGCACUGUUUCGGCUAGGGGGUCAUCCCGACUUACCAACCCGAUGCAAACUACGAAUACCGAAGAAUGUUAUCACGGGAGACACACGGCGGGUGCUAACGUUCGUCGUGAAGAGGGAAACAACCCAGACCGCCAGCUAAGGUCCCAAAGUCAUGGUUAAGUGGGAAACGAUGUGGGAAGGCACAGACAGCCAGGAUGUUGGCUUAGAAGCAGCCAUCAUUUAAAGAAAGCGUAAUAGCUCACUGGUCGAGUCGGCCUGCGCGGAAGAUGUAACGGGGCUAAACCAUGCACCGAAGCUGCGGCAGCGACACUUAGGUGUUGUUGGGUAGGGGAGCGUUCUGUAAGCCGUAGAAGGUGGCCUGUGAGGGCUGCUGGAGGUAUCAGAAGUGCGAAUGCUGACAUAAGUAACGAUAAUGCGGGUGAAAAACCCGCACGCCGGAAGACCAAGGGUUCCUGUCCAACGUUAAUCGGGGCAGGGUGAGUCGACCCCUAAGGCGAGGCUGAAAAGCGUAGUCGAUGGGAAACAGGUUAAUAUUCCUGUACUCGGUGUUACUGCGAAGGGGGGACGGAGAAAGCUAGGUUAUCCGGGCGACGGUUGUCCCGGUUUAAGCGUGAAGGUGGAUGACUUUGGUAAAUCCGGGUCGUCAUUAACACUGAGGCGUGAUGACGAGUCACUACGGUGAUGAAGUAACCAAUGCUACGCUUCCAGGAAAAGCCUCUAAGCUCCAGGUAACAUCAAAUCGUACCCCAAACCGACACAGGUGGUCAGGUAGAGAAUACUCAGGCGCUUGAGAGAACUCGGGUGAAGGAACUAGGCAAAAUGGUGCCGUAACUUCGGGAGAAGGCACGCUGAUGGUAGGUGAAGUGACUUGCUCACGGAGCUGAAAUCAGUCGAAGAUACCAGCUGGCUGCAACUGUUUAAUAAAAACACAGCACUGUGCAAACACGAAAGUGGACGUAUACGGUGUGACGCCUGCCCGGUGCCGGAAGGUUAAUUGAUGGGGUCAGCCGCAAGGCGAAGCUCUUGAUCGAAGCCCCGGUAAACGGCGGCCGUAACUAUAACGGUCCUAAGGUAGCGAAAUUCCUUGUCGGGUAAGUUCCGACCUGCACGAAUGGCGUAAUGAUGGCCAGGCUGUCUCCACCCGAGACUCAGUGAAAUUGAACUCGCUGUGAAGAUGCAGUGUACCCGCGGCAAGACGGAAAGACCCCGUGAACCUUUACUAUAGCUUGACACUGAACCUUGAGCCUUGAUGUGUAGGAUAGGUGGGAGGCUUUGAAGCGAGGACGCCAGUUCUUGUGGAGCCAACCUUGAAAUACCACCCUUUAAUGUUUGAUGUUCUAACGUGGGCCCGUAAUCCGGGUUGCGGACAGUGUCUGGUGGGUAGUUUGACUGGGGCGGUCUCCUCCCAAAGCGUAACGGAGGAGCACGAAGGUUAGCUAAUCCUGGUCGGACAUCAGGAGGUUAGUGCAAAGGCAUAAGCUAGCUUGACUGCGAGAGUGACAGCUCGAGCAGGUGCGAAAGCAGGUCUUAGUGAUCCGGUGGUUCUGAAUGGAAGGGCCAUCGCUCAACGGAUAAAAGGUACUCCGGGGAUAACAGGCUGAUACCGCCCAAGAGUUCAUAUCGACGGCGGUGUUUGGCACCUCGAUGUCGGCUCAUCACAUCCUGGGGCUGAAGUAGGUCCCAAGGGUAUGGCUGUUCGCCAUUUAAAGUGGUACGCGAGCUGGGUUUAGAACGUCGUGAGACAGUUCGGUCCCUAUCUGCCGUGGGCGUUGGAAGAUUGAGAGGGGUUGCUCCUAGUACGAGAGGACCGGAGUGAACGCACCACUGGUGUUCGGGUUGUGAUGCCAAUUGCAUUGCCCGGUAGCUAAGUGCGGAAGAGAUAACCGCUGAAAGCAUCUAAGCGGGAAACUUGCCUCGAGAUGAGUCUUCCCUGGGCACUAGAUGCCCCUGAAGGGCCGUUGAAGACGACGACGUAGAUAGGCUGGGUGUGUAAGCGUAGCGAUACGUUGAGCUAACCAGUACUAAUGACCCGAGAGGCUUAACCUUACAACACCGAAGGUGUUU
rnacentral:rRNA from 1 species